rnacentral:rRNA from 1 species
AUUGAACUCUGGCGGCAGGCCUAACACAUGCAAGUCGAGCGAGCGGCGGACGGGUGAGUAAUGUCUGGGGACUGCCCGAUAUGGGUGGAUAACUACUGGAAACGGUGACUAAUACCGCAUACUGUCGGAUAACCCAUUGGGGAUGAGCUAGUAGGUACGUUAAUGGCUUACCUAGGCGACGAUCCCAAGCUGGUCUGAGAGGAUGAUCAGACACACUGGAACUGAGACACGGCCCAGACUCCUACGGAGGCAGCAGUGGGGAAGAUUGCACAAUGGGCGAAAGCCUGAUUCAGCCAUGCCGCGUGUAUGAAGAAGGCCCUAGGGUUGUAAAGUACUGUCAGUCGGGAGGCGUUACCGACAGAAGAAGCACCGGCUAACUCCGUGCCAGCAGCCGCGGUAAUAC